AUGCAAAGCCCUAGCACACUGUGUGUCGCCUCUGCAUCCACCCAACCUGUUGAGCAUGGUUGGGCAUACCUCCCGGUUGACCUGCUCGAAUCCAUUAUUGCUCUGUCAGGAUCCUUCCGUGACCUUCUUGCCUUCGCCGCGACCUGCCGCUCUUGGCGUGCUGCAUUCUCCUCAUACCCAUCCAAAUCUUCCUUCUGUGCCAAAUUCCCACCUCUCCUUGCCCAAUUCAAUGUUCGUGUUCAAGGUCCUGAUCUUCCUUCUAACAAUGGUCGUCACGAGCUGUACACAUGUAAGGUCAUUGAUCCGAUGAACAAGAACGUCGCCCUUCGCUGCCAGAUUCCUCUAGAAAUUUAUCAGGAUACACAUUUCGUUGGAACUUCCUAUGGUCAACUAAUUUGCUAUUGUGUUGGAUAUUGUCUUCUUGUGGAUGUGUUCAGUGGUGCUGAGGUUUCAGCUCCACGUCUCCCAUUCAAUCACAAUUUCGACGGGCGCUACUUCAGCGGCACUCUUACAGCUCCCCUUGCAUCACCCAACUCACACCUCCUUGUCUGCACCGUAAACUCCCUGUUUGAUUGGUCAGUUGGAAGUAAAUCUUGGUCUAAGCUGCAGCUUCCUAAUGCAUGUAUAAUACAGAUUGUGAAAUUCAAAGGUCAGUUCAUUGCCAUGGAUGAUUGUUGUAACAUCUACACUUUGCAGCUGUCCCCACAGCUUGGUCUGCAGAAGGUAACAACUGAAUUGGCGGAAUAUUCACUCGCACAUGUGGAUUCGUGGCUAGUGGUCUGUGGUGACAUGCUUCUCAUGGUCAGGGUGCAUCCAUACUUGUCAGUCGUAAAAUGUAUACCCUACCACCUUGACAUUUCAACCAACCCUGCAAAAUGGGUGGAGGUAAAGCAGCUGGAUGAUUGGGCACUCUUUGUUGGGGGUGAUGUGAGGAGCCAGCCAUUUUCUUGCAUGAGCCCUGAAAGAUGGGGAGGGAGCAGCAAGCGGUUGUACUAUGCAGGCCGCCACUCUUUUGUCUUACAUGGAUUGGGUGACGAGCUAGAUCCAUCUUCCGGUUAUGAGUACAAAAGGAACUCGUUCAGCGAGCUACAGCCCCUCUGGGUGUACCCAAGCAUGUUCUACUCGGACAUCCAGUGA
rnacentral:rRNA from 1 species